rnacentral:rRNA from 1 species
UACGUAGGGGACAAGCGUUGUCCGGAAUUAUUGGGCGUAAAGCGCGUGUAGGCGGCCAAGUAAGUCUUCCGUGAAAUCCUGAGGCUCAACCUCAGGCCUGCGCGGGAUACUGCGGGUCUCGAGUCCGGGAGAGGUGAGUGGAAUUCCUAGUGUAGAGGUGAAAUUCGUAGAUAUUAGGAAGAACACCAGUGGCGAAGGCGGCUCACUGGCCCGGUACUGACGCUGAGGCGCGAAAGCGUGGGGAGCAAACAGG